rnacentral:rRNA from 1 species
AGUGAACGCUGGCGGUAGGCCUAACACAUGCAAGUCGAACAGCAGCACAGUAAGAGCUUGCUCUUACGGGUGGCGAGUGGCGGACGGGUGAGGAAUACAUCGGAAUCUACUUUUUCGUGGGGGAUAACGUAGGGAAACUUACGCUAAUACCGCAUACGACCUACGGGUGAAAGCAGGGGAUCUUCGGACCUUGCGCGAUUGAAUGAGCCGAUGUCGGAUUAGCUAGUUGGCGGGGUAAAGGCCCACCAAGGCGACGAUCCGUAGCUGGUCUGAGAGGAUGAUCAGCCACACUGGAACUGAGACACGGUCCAGACUCCUACGGGAGGCAGCAGUGGGGACUAUUGGACAAUGGGCGCAAGCCUGAUCCAGCCAUACCGCGUGGGUGAAGAAGGCCUUCGGGUUGUAAAGCCCUUUUGUUGGGAAAGAAAAGCAGCAGGUUAAUACCCCGCUGUUCUGACGGUACCCAAAGAAUAAGCACCGGCUAACUUCGUG